GGGCGUUAAGUUGCAGGGUAUAGACCCGAAACCCGGUGAUCUAGCCAUGGGCAGGUUGAAGGUUGGGUAACACUAACUGGAGGACCGAACCGACUAAUGUUGAAAAAUUAGCGGAUGACCUGUGGCUGGGGGUGAAAGGCCAAUCAAACCGGGAGAUAGCUGGUUCUCCCCGAAAGCUAUUUAGGUAGCGCCUCGUGAAUUCAUCUCCGGGGGUAGAGCACUGUUUCGGCUAGGGGGCCAUCCCGGCUUACCAACCCGAUGCAAACUGCGAAUACCGGAGAAUGUUAUCACGGGAGACACACGGCGGGUGCUAACGUCCGUCGUGAAGAGGGAAACAACCCAGACCGCCAGCUAAGGUCCCAAAGUCAUGGUUAAGUGGGAAACGAUGUGGGAAGGCCCAGACAGCCAGGAUGUUGGCUUAGAAGCAGCCAUCAUUUAAAGAAAGCGUAAUAGCUCACUGGUCGAGUCGGCCUGCGCGGAAGAUGUAACGGGGCUAAACCAUGCACCGAAGCUGCGGCAGCGACGCUUAUGCGUUGUUGGGUAGGGGAGCGUUCUGUAAGCCUGUGAAGGUGGCCUGUGAGGGUUGCUGGAGGUAUCAGAAGUGCGAAUGCUGACAUAAGUAACGAUAAAGCGGGUGAAAAGCCCGCUCGCCGGAAGACCAAGGGUUCCUGUCCAACGUUAAUCGGGGCAGGGUGAGUCGACC
rnacentral:rRNA from 1 species